GGUUCUCAUUUACGGCCGGACCAUCACACACUUAACUGUAAAAUUUGCGAGCACAAUUAGAACCGGUGGGUCACAGGGAGAGAUGAGUCUAGGCCCGGCAGGAAAGCUCUGGGAGGCCUGAACGCACUUAGGAGAGGUGGGGAGAAGGAAGCCCCACCCCGGAAAUGACGUUCACAGCGGAGGCAAUUGAACCUCGGAGCUCAACUCUACACAUGCACAGCGCAAGAAUGUAUGAUAUGGACCAUGAAGAUUCUCGUUUUAUAUAGAUGCACAUGGAUGGGCAUACAAGUAUGAACAUGUGGAUACUGAGAGACAGUGUUAGAAGAAUAUAUAAGAAAUACCACGUGGUCUGGGGAGAUCCCACACGCCACGGAGCAACUAAGCCCAUGCACCACAACUACUGAACCUGCGCUCGAGCCCUCUGGCCGCGACUACUGAAGCCCGCGUGACCACAGAAGCCUGUGCUCCACAAGAGAAGCCACCGCCACGAGAAGCCUGCACACCGCACCCGAAAAUAGCCCCACAACUCGAGAAAGCCCGCAUGCAGCAACAAAGCCCCAGUGCAGCCAAUAAAUAAACAAACGAAGAAAUGUUCAGAGGGGCUGACUCUAAGUGGAGGGAAACUAGACCACAGGGGAUUUUAUUCCUUUUUUUUUUUUGCUUAGCUAUAGUAUCUAAAUUUUAUAUCCUACUAAUAACAACCAUUUAUUGAACGUGUAGCCGGUUUCCAGGAGAAACACUUCACAGGCAAAGACUCAUUUUGUAGUAUUUUACUCCCAUUUUAUAGAAACUGAGGCUCAGAGACACCAAAGACCACGAAGACCACCACCUGGGUUCCUUUGCUGCAUUGACUUCUGAUCAAAUGAAUGUGCUUGUCACAAGGAAAAAAGAAGUGUUUUAAAAAUGCUAGAUAUGUGGGAAUUCCUGGUGGUCCAGAGGUUAAGUCUGCACUUCCAUUGCAGGGGGCACGGGUUCUAUCCCCAGUCGGGGAACUAAGGUCCCGCAUGCGCUGUGGUGUGGCCAAACAUAAAUAAAUAAAAAGAAUG
ensembl:lncRNA